GCUUUUUGUGCCGUUUGUGUCCCCGACUUACAAGUUGAGCUGCCAUGUUUACCUGCGCCUCCAGGAAAACGCGACCAAGCGUCCAGAAGAGCAUCUUGGACUACUUCGUCAGGGGGCAGCCAUGCAGCAUGUGCAAGGAUCAGUGCCCAGGGUUCCUCGUGCACAGAUGGAGGCAGCUAGAGGGGGUGGUCCACAGACUGCGGGCCCCUGCCCGGCUGCUCCCCAGCCUGACUCAGACGAGCCGCGCAUCCUCGUCACCAGGCAUGACGAAUCCGACAGCGUGCGUGCGACACCACAGGAGGCAGCAUGGCAGCCUGCCCUCGUGCAGACAGACAGGGAGGCGAAUGAUCCGUUAGUUGGGUGCCGUCAGAGUUCUCAGGUUACGAGACUCCUUCCCAUCAUAUAUGGGAUUUAACCCUGGCUGGAAUGACGUGCGUUUAAAUGCUGAUAUU